AUUGAACGCUGGCGGCAGGCCUAACACAUGCAAGUCGAACGAGUGGCGGACGGGUGAGUAAUGUCUGGGAAACUGCCCGAUGGAGGGGGAUAACUACUGGAAACGGUAGCUAAUACCGCAUACCAUCGGAUGUGCCCAGAUGGGAUUCGAUAGUAGGUGGGGUAAUGGCUCACCUAGGCGACGAUCACUAGUUGGUCUGAGAGGAUGAACAGCCACAUUGGAACUGAGAUACGGUCCAGACUCCUACGGGAGGCAGCAGUGGGGAAUAUUGCACAAUGGGCGCAAGCCUGAUGCAGCCAUGCCGCGUGUAUGAAGAAGGCCUUCGGGUUGUAAAGUACUUUCAGCGAGGAGGCGUUACUCGCAGAAGAAGCACCGGCUAACUCCGUGCCAGCCGCCGCGGUAAUUC
rnacentral:rRNA from 1 species